rnacentral:rRNA from 1 species
CCUACGGGGGGCUGCAGUGGGGAAUAUUGGUAAUGUGCGAAAGCGCGAACCAGCAACGCCGCGUGCACGAUGAAGGCCUUCGGGUCGUAAAGUGCUUUUAGAGAGGAUGAGGAAGGACAGUACUUUCUGAAUAAGCCUCGGCUAACUACGUGCCAGCAGCCGCGGUAAAACGUAGGAGGCAAGCGUUAUCCGGAUUUACUGGGCGUAAAGCGCAUGCAGGUGGUUUUGUAAGUUGGAUGUGAAAGCUCCUGGCUUAACUGGGAGAGGUCGUUCAAAACUACAAGACUUGAGAUUGGUAGAGGAAAAUGGAAUUCCGGGUGUAGUGGUGAAAUGCGUAGAUAUCCGGAGGAACACCAGUGGCGAAAGCGGUUUUCUGGACCAAUUCUGACACUCAGAUGCGAAAGCUAAGGUAGCAAACGGGCUUAGAUACCCCAGUAGUC